GAUGAACGCUAGCUACAGGCUUAACACAUGCAAGUCGCGGGGCAGCAUGGGGGUUGCUUGCAAUCCCCGAUGGCGACCGGCGCACGGGUGAGUAACGCGUAUCCAACCUGCCCUUCACCACGGGAUAACCCGGCGAAAGUCGGACUAAUACCGUAUGUUGUCCAUUGACGGCAUCCGAUUUGGACGAAAGGUUUGGCGGUGAAGGAUGGGGAUGCGUCCGAUUAGCUGGACGGCGGGGUGACGGCCCACCGUGGCGACGAUCGGUAGGGGUUCUGAGAGGAAGGUCCCCCACACUGGAACUGAGACACGGUCCAGACUCCUACGGGAGGCAGCAGUGAGGAAUAUUGGUCAAUGGGCGUAAGCCUGAACCAGCCAAGUAGCGUGCAGGAUGACGGCCCUAUGGGUUGUAAACUGCUUUUAUGCGGGGAUAAAGUGGCCCACGUGUGGGUUUUUGCAGGUACCGCAUGAAUAAGGACCGGCUAAUUCCAUG
rnacentral:rRNA from 1 species